rnacentral:rRNA from 1 species
UACGAAGGGGGCUAGCGUUGCUCGGAAUCACUGGGCGUAAAGGGUGCGUAGGCGGGUUUUUAAGUCAGAGGUGAAAUCCUGGAGCUCAACUCCAGAACUGCCUUUGAUACUGAAAGUCUUGAGUAUGGGAGAGGUGAGUGGAACUGCGAGUGUAGAGGUGAAAUUCGUAGAUAUUCGCAAGAACACCAGUGGCGAAGGCGGCUCACUGGCCCAUAACUGACGCUGAGGCGCGACAGCGUGGGGAGCGAACUGG